rnacentral:lncRNA from 1 species
AAAUGUUGACCAAGGAUUCAAAAAUAGGGCAUGAUAUUAGAUGGCUCUGGAAUUUGGACUCACUCCAAUUGGAGUUGAUUUGAAUGCUGAUGGAAUUUUUGAAACAUGGGAUAGGAGCAUUUAAAUCUAUAUUUGAAUAGUAAUGCAACAAAAUAGUUGUCUGGAAAAAUGAGCAAGGCACAUAUUAGGAUAGCCCUGAAUUUUAGGAACCUGCAGGAGUUUGAAUCAAACAAAUUGGAGUUAAUAUGAAUUUACUAAGGAUUUAUGACUCUUAUCAGAAAAAUAAAA